GGAUUUGGGAAUUCCAGCUCCAGAGGGAUGGAACCACGAGAUGUGGGGCUCCCCAUGGUGCUGGGAAUCCCAAUGAGGUGGGAUUUGGGAAUCCCAAUGAGUUGGGCCUCUCCAUGUUCUGAGCAUCCUAUCAAAGUGGGAUUUGGGAAUUCCAGCCCCAGUGGGAUGGAACCACGAGAUGUGGGGCUCCUCAUGGUGCUGGGAAUCCCAAUAAGGUUGGAUUUGGGAAUUCCAGCCCCAGUAGGAUGGAAUCGUGAGAUGUGGGGCUCCCCAUGGUGCUGGGAAUCCCAAUGAGGUGGGGUGGAACUAUGAGAUGUGGUGCUCUCCAUGUGCUGAGCAUCCCAUCAAAGUGGGAUUAGGGAAUUCCAGCCCCAGUGGGAUGGAACCACAAGAUGUGGGGCUCCCCAUGGUGCUGGGAAUCCCAAUGAGGUGGGAUUUGAGAAUCCCAAUGAGUUGGGCCUCUCCCUGUUCUGAGCAUCCUAUCAAAGUGGGAUUUGGGAAUUCCAGCCCCAGUGGGGUGGAAUCAUGAGAUGUGGGGCUCCUCACGGUGCUGGGAAUCCCAAUGAGGUGGGAUUUGGGAAUUCCAGCCCCAGUGGGAUGGAACCGCGAGAUGUGGGGCUCCUCAUGGUGCUGGGAAUCCCAGUAAGGUUGGAUUUGGGAAUCCCAACGAGCCUCUCCAUAUGCUGAGCACAUGGAUUUGGGAAUUCCAGCUCCAGGGGGAUGGAACCA